rnacentral:rRNA from 1 species
GACGAACGCUGGCGGCGCGCCUAACACAUGCAAGUCGAACGAGCGAGAGAGAGCUUGCUUUCUCGAGCGAGUGGCGAACGGGUGAGUAACGCGUGAGGAACCUGCCUCAAAGAGGGGGACAACAGUUGGAAACGACUGCUAAUACCGCAUAAGCCCACGGCUCGGCAUCGAGCGGAGGGAAAAGGAGCAAUCCGCUUUGAGAUGGCCUCGCGUCCGAUUGGCUAGUUGGUGAGGUAACGGCCCACCAAGGCAACGAUCGGUAGCCGGACUGAGAGGUUGAACGGCCACAUUGGGACUGAGACACGGCCCAGACUCCUACGGGAGGCAGCAGUGGGGAAUAUUGCACAAUGGGGGAAACCCUGAUGCAGCGACGCCGCGUGGAGGAAGAAGGUCUUCGGAUUGUAAACUCCUGUUGUUGGGGAAGAUAAUGACGGUACC